GCGGCAGACCAUCAACCUUCCUCGUAUAUCCAAUAAAAUGAAUGGUCCUGUUGAUGGAACAUGCAUGUUAUAUUGCUACCCGAUAAAACUAACCGAUUAAGAUGAAUCAGUAUUUAAUAAAUGGAUGCGACCCCAUCGACCUUUGCAAUGUUCCUGAUUAGGUUUCUUCCCAUCAAAUAAUUACUUAUUUUUUAUUCAUGUGAGUUAAGAUUUAUAUGGAUU
rnacentral:lncRNA from 1 species